rnacentral:rRNA from 1 species
UACAGAGGGGGCAAGCGUUAUUCGGAAUUAUUGGGCGUAAAGGGCGCGUAGGCGGCGAUUCAAGUGACGGGUGAAAUCCCUCGGCUUAACCGAGGAACUGCCUGUCAGACUGGAUUGCUUGAGGCCGGGAGAGGCGAGUGGAAUUCCCAGUGUAGCGGUGAAAUGCGUAGAGAUGUGGAGGAACACCAGUGGCGAAGGCGACUCUUUGGUCUGUAACUGACGCUGAGGCGCGAAAGCGUGGGGAGCAAACAGG